CAACCAUAUCACGUUGAAACACCGGUUCGCGUACGAUCAACGAAGUUAAGUAACGUCGAGCCUGGUCAGUACUUAGAUGGGUGGCCGCUUGGGAAUACCAGGUGCUGUAG